rnacentral:rRNA from 1 species
CAGUCGCCGCGGUAAUACGAAGGGUGCAAGCGUUAAUCGGAAUUACUGGGCGUAAAGCGUGCGUAGGCGGUAAGUUAAGUCUGCUGUGAAAUCCCCGGGCUCAACCUGGGAAUGGCAGUGGAUACUGGCUCGCUAGAGUGUGUCAGAGGAUGGUGGAAUUCCCGGUGUAGCGGUGAAAUGCGUAGAGAUCGGGAGGAACAUCAGUGGCGAAGGCGGCCAUCUGGGACAACACUGACGCUGAGGCACGAAAGCGUGGGGAGCAAACAGGAUUAGAUACCCCCGUAGUCCCUGUCUCUUAUAC